AAUCAUCAUGUCGAAGUCCUCAUAAGAGACAUUGGGAUCUCCAACUGCAUGCAAGAGCAACCUGGAGAGACUUUGACAGCUCAAGUCAAUCCCAUACCUGUGGCUGCCACUCACCUUUUCUAUAAGA
ensembl:snoRNA small nucleolar RNA SNORA44